UAAACCCUAGCUUCCGCCAUUUUUCUCUAUAUAAAGUACCUUCGUCUCCAUUAAGCUCAAACACUCACUCUUCUGAUCUAGGGUUUUACAGCUUUCACUUUCCUCCAUAAGACCAAUUUGCAGAGCAAUGGUGUCUUUCAAAAAUGACAGAUAUUUGCAUUGAAGGUUGGCUAUAUGUAUGGCGAUUCUCCGUGCCUUUCAAGCUUUUUUCUCGUGUUGAUUACGGCCUCGAACAAAUUGCUAUAUCCCCAAUUAUACUGGUUGUUAUAUCUAUGAUAAAGUUUUGAUCUUUUUGAUUAUUUGUUUGUGUAUCAGUGGCCAAUGAUUAAAUUUCUUUUAUAGACAAGCAUAUGACUGAAUUUUCAUUAUGUUGAAUACCUAAUCUUCUCUAUGAGGCCAAUUAUAUUUUAUGCUUUUCAAAAUAUGUUUUUGCUUUGUUAUAUAUAUGGGUCAGAUGAUGAUUAAAAGCAUAGUUCAAAUGAUAUUUUUUGUGAUUAUAAAACAAUCUUUAUAGUCUUUCGCUCCUAUCUGAUGACUCUUGUUUUCAUUUGUGUUAAAUGCAUGAUUUGUUUUUUGAAAAAUUGAAAUGGUUAAUGGACUGUGACGACUUAUAUCUAUUGGUCUCGUUCGUCGUAAUGGUGUUUAAAACCACCUUGCCGACCAUUCUGAUAUAUCACCACCCAUAAACUGAGUCCUUAUUUGUUUUAAUGGUUAUUUUUUGGUAUAUGGUGCUAUGAUGAAAAAUAUCUUGUGUCGGAGACUUUGGUCUGUGAUGGCUUACACUACCCUCUAAGAAGUUCUGAGCACUGUUAAAUUUUUUACGAUCAAUUCGAUUACUUUCUGUUGUGUUUUUUGUUUACUUGAGGAGGAACGACGUGAUGAUAGAAUUCAUAAGUCUGUCAAUCCACUGAAAUACAUUUCAUGAUGUAAAGUGUGAAUCCCGACAGGUUCUGAUCGUUAAAUGAUUAAUCCUCUUCCUUUUGUAUGGGCUAAUGAUGAAAUCUUAUAUAUCGUAAAUGGGUAAUUUGCGUCUGAAUCAUUCAUUGAUGCUAUCAACCUUGGAGAACUGAUGCCCUUAAACUGUUUUAUGAUUUGUGAUAUAGAGUGUAGGAGUGGGAAUUUAGGGUAAUCAAUGGAUAUAUUUGGUCCAACUCAUCGGAAACUUAGAGGAAAUGAUGUGUAUUUAUUGUCAUCUGAUUUGCAUUCCAUAUGUGGAUGUUAAACUAGUGAAUGAUUCAUUAUAACUGAUCCUCUUGUUGUAUAGUGAAAUAUUGUUUUGAUUAUGUUAAUAUGUUCAGAAGAUCGCGUCAUUGUCUUGUUAUGUAGUUUUCUUUUUUAUUCACUAAACAAGAUGCAGCUGAUAGAUGGAGAUCUCGAGUUGGAGACAUAACAAUUAGAAGAAUUCAAUUGGGAGGCUCGAUAGUUGUAAAUUAUACUGAGAUUUACUGAAACCUAUGCUAAAAGUCUCUUGAAACUAGUAGUCACAAUUGUACGUUAUGAGUCGAUUAUUAUAGUCGAAUAUUGAUAAUAGUUGCUCGACUCUUUAACUGUCACAAAUGGAGAUUGCAAAUAUUAAGAAAUUGCAAAUUCUAAAGCCGAGAAAAUGAAGUUUCUUUACCUGGGUUUUC